rnacentral:rRNA from 1 species
GGCGUUUUGAUAAUAAUUUAAGGUCGGGCCUGCCCAAUGAAAUUUUAAAUGGCCGCGGUAUUUUAACCGUGCAAAGGUAGCAUAAUCAUUAGUUUUUUAAUUGAAAGCUGGGAUGAAGGGUUUAAUGAAAAAAUUACUGUCUCUAUCUAAAUUUAUUAGAAAUUUAUUUUUAAGUAAAAAAGCUUAAAUAACUAUUAAAGACGAGAAGACCCCAUAGAGUUUUAUAUCUAAAGAAUUUAUUGUAUUUAGGAUUUUUAAAUUAUUUUUGUAAGGUAUUUAGUUGGGGCGAUUAAAAAAUUUGAGUAACUUUUUUUAAAAUGACCAUUGAUUUAUGAUUAAUUGAUCCUUUUUUUAGAUUAAAAGAUAAAAUUACCUUGGGGAUAACAGCGUAAUUUUUUUUUAAAGUUCCUAUUGAAAUAAAAGAUUGCGACCUCGAUGUUGGAUUAAAAUUUCAUUGCUGGUGCAGCAGCUAGCAAAUUAGGUCUGUUCGACCUUUAAAAUUUUACAUGAUCUGAGUUUAGACCGGUUUGAG